rnacentral:lncRNA from 1 species
AGUCUUCCCGGCAGCAGUGAGCUCUGUUCGUUUUUCUGAGUAAUAUGGAAAUGGCACGGCUCAGCCACACAAGGGCCUGGGCAAAGGUCACGGCCAGCAAAGAACACAGCCUGGGUCCUCUGAGUCCCGAGUCCACGCGAUCCUGACCCGUCCACCACCCUCCUCGAGACACGACAAGUUAGGCGGGAACAUAACCUGGGAGCCCCAUGUCGGUUUCAGGCUCCACAAGGGAUCUCUGGGUAAAGGGUUUGUCUCUUCCACAUCUGUUCAUUUAGGAGAAGCAAAGAACAUGGAAAGCAGAAUUCCUGGGGGUGGCCUCAACCCCAAGCCCUGCCGAUGCAAACCGGCACCUUGAAGAUGCCUUUGGAAUUUAACUGGAAGAUUUGAAUGACAUGGGCAGACACAGAAGAGGGAGAAGCAUUCCACAGGGGAGGAAAGGCCUCAGUGGGGACCUAUGGAGCUCCCAGGCCCACCGCAGGGAGGCAGGUCCUCGGUCAUCUGCGGAGGGAGAACACUUUCAGUCGAAGGAGCCUGGGACCCUUGACACAGAAGUGACAUGUGCAUUCGGAACCUCUCUGUGGAAAACACAGACCCUUCAUGACACGCAAACUCGAAGCCGGUGAGGCCGAGUCUCAGGGCUGCGCCAACCAGGAAGCCUGGCUGUCCAAUGUUCCAAAUCUGGAUGUGAAAUGGACCAUGCAGACAGGACCCAAGGGGCAUGGGGGAGCUGGCAGAGGCACCCGGGACAAGUGGGGAAGCACCUGUCGGCCAGGAAGGUAGAGAGGCACCUACCCCAGAACACGGUGCCAGCGUCACACUCUUAUUAACAGAUGCAAUAACCACCUUCGGAGACCAGACCCCUCAAAGAGCACUCAGCCCACAAUGUGACGCAGAGAAACCAGAGACCCAGGCAGGGAGUGCACCCACGGGGACACUCCGAGGGUGGCCUCCUGCCUGCCCUGAUUACUUAAAAAGGAGAUUCUUGGAAACCUUUGCGGGCCCACAGGUGCACCCUGACUCCCAGGGAUGGGGGCUGAGCCACCCAGGAAACAAAUAUGAAAUCAAAGAUCCAGACAGCCCUGACCCUCCUGAUUCCAGGGUCCAUAAAUAAGUCAUUCUUAAAAUAGUGGUUGUUUUCUCUCUAUUUAAGAAGUGCUUCUUUUUUGAGUCCUUGUUCCCAACUUCCCUGGCAACUCAGUUUCCUGUUUCCUCCGGGAGGAAGGCAGAACUGCAGGAGAGGGACGGAGGAACACAGUCCCCAACUCUCUGUGAUCAGCAGAGCCCAGAGAGCCCAGCCUCGUGUACCAAAAAGGUCUGGGAGCCCCAUUUUUCUUCAGAGGAAAUGUUAAUGCCCGAAUGUCACCAGCUCAUCGCCGACAAAGGCCUGAACACAAACGUCUCCAGGCAACAGCCCCGAGCAGUCACUCUGGAAGGUUACGUGAAGCUGCUGGCUCAGAUUUUAAAUCGUCUCACAUGUGGGUUGCCCCACCUACCCCAUCAACAAACACAGCUUCGCACUUCUGCAUCAGAGGCUGUGCUGGGUUCUGGGGACACGGAAGGCCCCCAGCUCUCAGGCCUGGUAAGAGAAAGAAAAACACGAAGACAUUCCAGCCGGCCCUU